GGUCACUGCUAUUGGGAUUCGAUUAAGCCAUGCGAGUCGAGAGGGUUCGGCCCUCGGCUGACGGCUCAGUAACACGUGGAUAAUCUGCCCUAAGGUGGAGGAUAACCUCGGGAAACUGAGAAUAAUACUCCAUAGGUCUAGGAUGCUGGAAUGCACUUAGACUGAAAACUUCGGUGCCUUAGGAUGAGUCUGCGGACUAUCAGGUUGUAGUCAGGGUAAAGACCUGACUAGCCUACGACGGAUACGGGUUGUGAGAGCAAUAACCCGGAGAUGAUAUCUGAGACACGAUAUCAGGCCCUACGGGGCGCAGCAGGCGCGAAACCUUCACACUGUGCGAAAGCGCGAUGAGGGAAUCCCAAGUGCUUGCACGUAAGUGUAAGCUGUUUUUAUGUCUAAAAAGCAUAGAGAGUAAGAGCUGGGUAAGACGGGUGCCAGCCGCCGCGGUAAUACCUGCAGCUCGAGUGGUGGUCGCUAUUAUUGGGCCUAAAACGUUCGUAGCCGGUUUGAUAAAUGCCUGGGUAAAUAGUAUAGCUUAACUAUACGAAUUCCGGGUAGACUGUCAAACUUGAGACCGGGAGAGGCUAGAGGUACUCCUGGGGUAGAGGUGAAAUUCUGUAAUCCUAGGGGGACCACCAGUGGCGAAGGCGUCUAGCUAGAACGGGUCUGACGGUGAGGGACGAAGCCCUGGGGCGCAAACGGGAUUAGAUACCCCGGUAGUCCAGGGUGUAAACGCUGCUUGCUUGAUG
rnacentral:rRNA from 1 species